CCCUUAGAUGUCCUGGGCCGCACGCGCGCUACACUGGUGCAUUCAACGAGUAAUUAUUCCUUGGCCGAGAGGCCUGGGUAAUCUUUUAAACGUGCAUCGUGAUAGGGAUAGAUUAUUGCAAUUAUUAAUCUUGAACGAGGAAUUCCUAGUAAACGCAGAUCAUCAAUCUGCAUUGAUUACGUCCCUGCCCUUUGUACACACCGCCCGUCGCACCUACCGAUUGAAUGGUCCGGUGAAGCCUCGGGAUUGUGACGAGUUCCCUUCAUUGGGAGUUGGUCGCGAGAACUUGUCUAAACCUUAUCAUUUAGAGGAAGGUGAAGUCGUAACA
rnacentral:rRNA from 1 species